rnacentral:lncRNA from 1 species
CUCCUUUGAGCUUUGCUUUGUGCUCCAGGAAGAGACCAGCCCUUGGAUUCCCCUGCACGCGGCGUACAGGCAGCGGCUGGCAGACUUGGCAGCCUCCCACGAAUACUACGUGGCGGACAUCCAGGCCAGGACCCAGCGCCUGGAAGAGCAGAGAGAAGAAAUCCAGAGGCGCCUGUCGGACCUGGCUGCCCAGGACUCCUCCACCGCUCACGUGGAGCAGCUGUUGCUGGAGCUGAGAGCCCAGGAGGAGAAGAACCAGCUGGCAAUGGAUGCGCUGAGGGGUCAGAUUGGACUCCUGCAAGCUGCGGGCGCGAGAGCCCUGCACUUGGCCUAUCUCCAGGGCGGAGGGAGUGACGUGGCCGUCCUGGCUCAGCUGUACGAUCUGCAGCGGGAAGCGAUGGUGCUGGAGGCAGCCGCGGGGAAGCCGGAGUGCGGAGAGAAGAAGAAAAAGCCCCGCGCCGACGACACCCGGCCCCUGGCCGCGGAGCUGCUGGCCGUGGAGCUGCAGAACCAGCGGCUGGAGGACGAGCUCUUCAGGCUGAAGAUCCAGAGGGAUAAGAGGAGAGCGGAUGACGGCGUGCUGGGCAGGGAGCUGGCAGGGCUGCAACGGGCACACGUGAGGGAGAUGGCACAGCUGCAGGCCGAGAUUGGGAUGCUGAGGCACGACGCGGAAAGGAUGCAGCCGCGACGGGGCGGCAGGCGGUCGCCGCCUCUGCGCCCUCCACCAGUGGCCCCCCCCCUACCACCGCCCCCCCCGCUGCCUCUG